ensembl:lncRNA
CUUUUAGAGUUCUUUGUUAGAGUUCAGCUUUUAAAUAGAGAAACAUUUUGUGAGUUUAAUCAUAUACUCCAAUUUUUAUGUUUAAAAUGUUUAUGUACAAUGAUCAUUGGUCUGUUUUUGAGUAAAUAUUGUGUAUAUAAUUUUCCUCAAUGGAAGGUUGUUGGACAGAAUACAAACCCCCUCCUGACCUGUUGGCUUUUCCACCCUGUGCCCCUUUGUCAUUACUGGAAGAAGGGGCUGGCUGUUCUGCUUAUUGGCUCUUCACUCACCUGUUGUAAACUUGUCCCUUUUUGAGAAGUCAAUACACUUUAAGUAUGAUAGUUAUUUUUUAUAUGCUCUCUGCAAGCCUUUUUUUUAAUGUAAAUAUAAAGUGGUAUUUUUUUAAGUGUAUCUGAAUGCACUGGGAUGCAGACUGCCUAUAUAUAUAUAUGAAAUAUAAGCACACGGUCCCUAUAGCUUAACAUUUUUCUGCCAGAUUUUAUAGGUGAACAGACUGUAUAUAACCCCAGGGUUGGGUAGGUUACUAUGUAAAUGUAAUCUGUUACAGUCACUAGUUACCUGUCAAAUUAUAAUCGGUAACAUCAGUUGGAUUACCCAAAUUCAGUUACAUAAUGUAAUUAAUCUCCAAUAAAAAGGCAGACAAUAUUUCCAAAUGAACAAUAUCUAGUCUAAGAUCAACCAAUGUUAAUUUACAUAGCCGAACAUAAGUGGACGUUGCAUUUUACUUCAUCGAUUAGACAUGUUUUCUAAACCCUUUGUAUUAAACAGAAAUGUGAUUACGGUUAUAUCAUAAACCAAAGUAUCUCAGAUCUACAGUGACUACAAUUGAUUGAAUACCCACUGAGCUUCAAGACUUGAAGUCUUUGAGACAUGGUGUUGAUUUGAAAAAAUGUUUUCGCUAGACAUCACCCCAAAACAAAGGACUUUUCAGGAUUCUGUUUGCUUUGUUGUCAUGGCCUGUUUGGGCCCUUUGAUUAAAAAAAAGUUGAAAUGGAAAUGGAAUACCAAUUGGCUGUUUGCAUGUGAAUGACUGUCAG